AUGAGGACACUCGCAGGACCUUUCUUCCUGUUCCUGUGGCUGCAGCUGCACUGUGUGAGUGGAGGAGAGAAGGUGGAGCAGAGUCCUUCUUUCCUGAGUGUCCGGGAGGGAGACAGCUGUGUUAUGAACUGCACUUACACAGACAGUGCCUCUGACUACUUCUUUUGGUAUAAGCAAGAACCUGGAGCAGGUCUCCAGUUCCUUAUAAAUAUUCUCUCAAAUGCGGAUAAGAAAGAAGAGCAAAGGCUCACCGUCCUCAUGAACAAGAAGGACAAGCGUCUCUCCCUGCACAUCUCAGCUGCCCGUCCUGCAGACUCAGCCACCUACUUCUGUGCUGCAAGAGCACAGUGCUCCCCAGGCACCUGCAGCCUCUACCCAAACCCGCAGUGA